rnacentral:rRNA from 1 species
UACGGAGGGUGCAAGCGUUAUCCGGAUUUACUGGGUUUAAAGGGUGCGUAGGUGGACAGGAAAGUCAGUGGUGAAAUCUUCGAGCUUAACUCGGAAACUGCCAUUGAUACUAUUUGUCUUGAAUACUUUGGAGGUAAGCGGAAUAUGUCAUGUAGCGGUGAAAUGCUUAGAGAUGACAUAGAACACCAAUUGCGUAGGCAGCUUACUACACGAAUAUUGACGCUGAGGCACGAAAGCGUGGGGAGCAAACAGG